rnacentral:rRNA from 1 species
ACGGGGGCCCGCAAGGGCAACCGGCGAACGGGUGCGUAACACGUGAGCAACCUGCCAAUUUGUGGGGGAUAGCCGGCCCAACGGCCGGGUAAUACCGCAUACGCUCACUGGGAGGAGUCUCCUGGUGAGGAAACCUCCGGGGCAAAUCGAGGGGCUCGCGGCCUAUCAGCUAGUUGGUGCGGGUAACGGCCCACCAAGGCGAUGACGGGUAGCUGGUCUGAGAGGAUGGCCAGCCACAUUGGGACUGAGAAACGGCCCAGACUCCUACGGGAGGCAGCAGUGGGGAAUCUUGCGCAAUGGCCGAAAGGCUGACGCAGCGACGCCGCGUGUGGGAGGAAGCUCUUCGGGGUGUAAACCACUGUUGCCCGGAACGAAACUCAGGAUUCGUCCUGAUUGACGGUACCGGGUGAGGAAGCACCGGCUAACUCUGUGCCAGCAGCCGCGGUAAUACAGAGGGUGCGAGCGUUGUCCGGAAUCACUGGGCGUAAAGGGCGCGUAGGUGGCCACUGUAAGGCCGUGGUGAAAGUCCGGGGCUCAACCCCGGAUCGGCCGCGGCGACUGCAGGGCUUGGGCACCGUAGAGGCAGAUGGAAUUCCGGGUGUAGCGGUGGAAUGCGUAGAGAUCCGGAAGAACACCGGUGGCGAAGGCGGUCUGCUGGGCGGUGGGCUCGCAAGA